rfam:Homo sapiens chromosome 10, GRCh38 reference primary assembly.
GCUGGGUGGGGUGGUGCACACCUGUAGUCCCAGCUACUCCAGAGGCUGAGGCAAGAGGAUUGCUUGAGCCCAGGAGUUCCAGGCUGCAGUGAGCUAUGAUUGAGCCACUGCACUCCAGCCUGGGUGACAGAACAAGACCCUAUCUCUU